AUGAGCAUAACAUUUUUUUCUCAGAUAAUCGUGGCUGGACCCACUCAGCAUGAAACAUUACAUCAACAUUGAUGCAUAUCGACAAAUCUGAUGAAAUGUUACGCCAUAUGGAUGUUAUAUUGCAUCCAGGUUGGCUGAAACGAGGUGGACGCUGUCAAUCUUAAUAUAAUGUGUAUCCUAUAUCGACAUCACGCUCUUGACGACGUCAACAUCUAUCUAGCUUACAUAAACAUUGACAUUAGUUGAGUAGAUACAGCACAUUGAUUUUCAUUGACGGCGUCAACAUUUCGAUCGACAAUUUAUUAAAUUUGCGCGCGCUCGGUCGAAUUUAGCGCGCAAACAGCGUUACACAACAUCAACAACAGCAACCGCGAAACGGCUUUCUAGAAGGUUCACUAACCUCAAAAUUCAAAAGUGCGCGGCGCCGGCGUGUGCGUGAUUGCCCAGACGUAUAUUUUUGUUCGACGGAACAUGUUUUGUUUCUUGUGUUAUUUGCUCUGUUUGCUUUCGUGUCAAGUCAAUUAAUAAUAAGUUGUAAAGUUCAGCAUCCUGGCAUUCCUGGCCGCAAUUCUCAAGUGAUCUGUGAUCAUCAUAUUACCUACUACUUCCUAGUUACUACCGCCUGCCAACACCAGAGACCACUUUCACGAGCAUUGAAGAAGACUGAGAAUGUCAUUCAAGGAGAUGAGAAUGCUCAUAGCCAGAAUCCUGUAGACUGUAAUCCUGGAAUCCAAAAUCCACAAAAUGAAGAAAUCCUGUCAGCUGUUCACUCAGGCCUCGACAUAGCAUCUGUCAUGCUGUCUAGCUUAUGCAAUUUCACCGUCCCAGAAGAUGGACACUUUCUCCAAUCGUUCUUUUCUUUAUUUCCGUUUUUGCUAUAUUAUUUUUUUUUUCGUUAUUAUUUUUGAUUUUUAUUUUCGUGUUAUCAGAUGAGGUACUAUUCUGAGAUACUAGAUGUAAUUUUCAAUUUAUUCCUUGGUUUCUCUCAGAAACUGAAAAUAUCAGGGAUAAGUAAUUGUGUUAAUUGAGCAAAACAUAGCUUUAAUCAUUACUUACAUUAUUAUGCCACUUUUUCUAUGGAUACUCAUACAGAUACUUUAAGUUCCUUUUUUUUUCAUUAACUACUAUUUUCUUCAUUUCCAUUCUUGUGAGAUUCUUUAAAUGUUUUUCUUGGUUUCUUUCAGAAACUGAAAUUAUGAGGGAUACAUAAUUUUGUUUUUUAUGUAAAACUUUGCCUUCAACAAUGGCAUUACUGUGCCAUUUUUCCUAUCGAUAUUCAUACAGAAACUUUAAGUUCCUUUUUUUUCUCUAACUGCCAUUUCCAUUCUUUUGAGAUAAAUUAGACUUUUUCAAUAUUUACGAAAGUUUUCAUCGCAUACCUGUAAAUUGGAGAAAAACACUAAAAUUUUGACCCGAAUAUUAAACAAGUUGUUCGAAUAGUGCUGGGUCCACAUUAUUUUGCGGGGAAACAAAGUCAAAAGAAGUACUAAAAUUAAAUUAUAAUUUAUAAGUAUCAGAAUUUACUUUUAAAUUGUAAUUUAAUUUUUUUACUUCCUUUGGCUUUGUAUUCCUGCAGAAUAGUGUGGACCCAGCAAUAUUCUAACAACUUGUAACUUAGGUAAUGCUUGUUUCACACUGUGUUGACCUCAGUUUCCUUUGAGUUUUUUCUCCUUAUUCUCAUUCGUUGCUGGCUUAGGUAAAAUUAGCCAGCUAAUCAUUGCGAAGACGCUUUUAAAUAUUCUGACAAUUUUAAGCUACAACUUAAUUUGUUACAAUCUUUGUGCAUUUGUUCGUGCCUUUCCUGGAGUCUGAUAUUUAUUUAUUUUUUUAAUAAAGUACAUGUCUCUUAUAAUUUUAAAGAUAUUCUCACUUACAAAUACCUUUUGAAUUUCAUGUUAGCUGUAGACGUCUUUAUUUCCUGUAAAAGUUUUCGAGGUAAAUUAUUGUAGUCAGUUCAGGAAGUUACAGGACAACCAAAUGUAGUUUUUUCAUGAAUGCAGAUGUUUGUUAUUCUGCAUCAUAUUAUUUCUAAACACUUUCUUAACAAUUUAUAGCCAAAAUUGAUUUUUUGAAUGUAAGGAAGCCAGUAGAGGUUUCGUAGGCCAGUAAACUCCGUGAAACUUUGAUAUUUUUUAACUCGGUUUUCUUCAGAUAAGUAGGCAGUUGAACUGGCAGUUACCCUCUUACCCUUUCAAUUGAUGUCUCGCAAGGUAUUUGUAAGAUCUCAAUGGCAACUUUCAAAAAGGCAUAGCACCUGUUUUGAAAUUGGAAAGAGGGCCCGUUUCCCAAGCCACAAAAACGCUUUGAAAGCAUUUUUGCACUAAGACUGAUCCCUUGAUAUUUUUCAAGACAGGUGACAUACCUUAAAAAGUGUCUUAGAAGAUGAUGCAAUUACAGUUCAUUGUUUAAUUAAUAUAAUUGAAUGAACAGUUAGCAUAAAGGAACCAAUUGGCAUCAGCUGUUGUCAAAUUUCACCGGGCAAGUUUUUUCCUUUUUCACAGGAGAAUUUUUGAACAGAUUCUUAUAAAAAUUUCAGGGAAUUUGGCUCACACCACACCGAAAAUUCUCAGAAAUUUCUGAAAAAAUCUGUAAAACUGUUCUCCUGUGAGAGGAUGAAGGGCCCGAUGAAAUUUGGCAAUAGCUAAUGCCAGUUGCUUCCUUUCUGCUAAACGCAGCUCAGGUGUCAAGGUUAUAUCAACCUAACAUUAACCCAGAUAUCAACAUGAAAUCAACCUGUUAGCAAUAUAGCAUCCAUACCACUGCAGCUCUUUUGCAGUAACCGUCAAUCUCUUCGUUACCUUGAUUCCACAUUGAUGCAUCUUCAUGCAAGGUUUCAUCAAGGCUGACGAUUUUGACACGUCAAUAUCAAUACAAGGUUAUAUCCACAUAUUAUGCUGAGUGGGGAGGUAUGAAGCAAAGUUUCUUCUAAAAUUAGCGAAAAUGCGCCUUUUGUAAGCUAAUUUUUGAAGAAAACGUUACUUUCACGACCAAAAAAUUAAGUUAGAAAAAACACAGGAGAAUGAUUUCGGUAGGAAAUGUUAUCCUCUUUCCGCUGGUUUUUUUGUCUUGACCCCUCUCUCCCUCCCCGUCAUCCACCGCCAAA
rnacentral:lncRNA from 1 species